CUCGCCCAACAGCAAAACCCAGUGAAACCUAAUAGACACAUCCAGAACCACCGCACAACAGCAAAACCCACUGAAAGCUAACAGACACAUACAGAACCCCCACCGAACAACAAAACCCAGUGAAACCUAAUAGACACAUGCAGAACCCCCACGCAACAACAAAACCCAGUGAAACCUAACAGACACAUCCAGAACCCCCACCCAACAGCAAAACCCACUGAACCCUAAUAGACACAUCCAGAACCCCCACCCAACAGCAAAACCCACUGAAACCUAAUAGACACAUCCAGAACCCCUACCCAACAGCAAAACCCAAUGAAACCUAAUAGACAUAUCCAGAACCCCCACCCAACAGCAAAAACCAGUGAAACCUAAUAGACACAUGCAGAACCCCCACCCAACAGCAAAACCCAAUGAAACCUAAUAGACACAUCCAGAAUCCCCACCCAACAGCAAAACCCACUGAACCCUAAUAGACACAUCCAGAACCCCCACCCAACAGCAAAACCCACUGAAACCUAAUAGACACAUCCAGAACCCCCACCCAACAGCAAAACCCAAUGAAACCUAAUAGACACAUCCAGAACCCCCACCCAACAGCAAAAACCAGUGAAACCUAAUAGACACAUCCAGAACCCCCACCCAACAGCAAAACCCAGUGAAACCUAAUAGACACAUCCAGAACGCCCACCCAACAGCAAAACCCAGUGAAACCUAAUAGACACAUCCAGAACCCCCACCCAACAGCAAAACCCACUGAAACCUAAUAGACACAUCCAGAACCCCCACCCAACAGCAAAACCCAAUGAAACCUAAUAGACACAUCCAGAACCCCCACCCAACAGCAAAACCCAAUGAAACCUAAUAGACACAUCCAGAACCCCCACCCAACAGCAAAACCCACUGAAACCUAAUAGACACAUCCAGAACCCCCGCCCAACAGCAAAAACCAGUGAAACCUAAUAGACACAUGCAGAACCCCCACCCAACAGCAAAACCCACUGAAGCCAAAUAGACACAUCCAGAACCCCCACCCAAUAGCAAAACCCAAUGAAACCAAAUAGACACAUCCAGAACCCACACCCUACAGCAAAACCCAAUGAAACCUAAUAGACACAUCCAGAACCCCAGCCCAACAACAAAACCCAGUGAAACCUAAUAGACACAUCCAGAACCCCCGCCCAACAGUAAAACCCAAUGAAACCUAAUAGACACAUCCAGAACCCCCACCCAACAGCAAACCCCAAUGAAACCUAAUAGAUACAUCCAGAAUCCCCACCCAACAACAAAACCCAAUGAAACCUGAUAGACACAUCCAGAACUCCCACCCAACAGCAAAACCCAAUGAAACCUGAUAGACAUAUGCAGAACCCCCAUCCAACAACAAAACCCACUGAAACCUGAUAGACACAUCCAGAACCCCCACCCAACAUCAAAACCCACUGAAACCUAAUAGAUACAUCCAGAAUCCCCACCCAACAUCAAAACCCACUGAAACCUAAUAGACACAUCCAGAACCCCCGCCCAACAGCAAAACCCACUGAAACCUAAUAGACACAUCCAGAAUCCCCAAACAACAGCAAAACCCACUGAACCCUAAUAGACACAUCCAGAACCCCCACCCAACAGCAAAACCCACUGAAACCUAAUAGACACAUCCAGAACCCCCAACCAAGAGCAAAACCCAAUGAAACCUGAUAGACACAUCCAGAACCCCCACCCAACAGCAAAACCCAAUGAAACAUAAUAGACACAAGCAGAACCCCCAACCAAGAGCAAAACCCAAUGAAACCUGAUAGACACAUCCAGAACCCCUGCCCAACAAAACCCAAUGAAACCUAAUAGACACAUGCAGAACCCCUGCCCAACAGCAAAACCCACUGAAACCUAAUAGACACAUCCAGAAUCCCCACCCAACAAAACCCAAUGAAACCUAAUAGACACAUGCAGAACCCCUGCCCAACAGCAAAACCCACUGAAACCUAAUAGACACAUCCAGAACCCCACCCAACAGCAAAACCCACUGAAACCUAACAGACAUACUCAGAGCCCCCACCCAACAGCAAAACCCACUGACACCUAAUAGACACAUCCAGAACCCCCACCCAACAGCAAAACCCAAUGAAACCUAAUAGACACAUCCAGAACCCCCACCCAACAGUAAAACCCACUGAAACCUAAUAGACACAUCCAGAACCCCCACCCAACAGCAAACCCAAUGAUACCUGAUAGACACAUCCAGAACCUCCGCCCAACAACAAAACCCAAGUGUGCACAGGACAUGCUCCAGGAUAGACCAUAUAUUAGCCACAAGUUAGGCCUGAGUAGAUUAAAAAGGAUCGAUAUCUGUGAUGGUUGACACUGAGUGUGAACUUGAUUGAAGGAUGCAGGGUGUUAAUCCUGGGUGUGUCUGUGAGGGUGUUACCAAAGGAGAUUAGCGUUUGAGUCAGUGGACUUGGGAAGGCAGACUCACUCUUAAUCUGGUGGGCACAAUCUAAUCAACUGCCAGCAAAUAUAAGGCAAGCAGAGAAACAUGAAAGGUUGAGACUGGCCUAGCCUCACAGCCUACAUCUUUCUCUGUGCUGGAUGCUUCCUGCCCUCGAACAUCAGACUCCAAAUUCUCCAGUUUUGGGACUCGAACUGGCUCUCCUUGCUCCUCAGCUUACAGAUGGCCUAUUGUGGGACCUUGUGAUUGUGUAAGUUAAUACUUAAUAAACUCCCCUAAUAUAGCCUAUUAGUUCUGUCCCUCUAAGAGAACCCUGACUAAUACAGUAUCAUACAAAAGAAU
rnacentral:lncRNA from 1 species